rnacentral:rRNA from 1 species
GACGAACGCUGGCGGCGUGCCUAAUACAUGCAAGUAGAACGCUGAAGGAGGAGCUUGCUCUUCUGGAUGAGUUGCGAACGGGUGAGUAACGCGUAGGUAACCUGCCUGGUAGCGGGGGAUAACUAUUGGAAACGAUAGCUAAUACCGCAUAAGAGUAGAUGUUGCAUGACAUUUACUUAAAAGGUGCAAUUGCAUCACUACCAGAUGGACCUGCGUUGUAUUAGCUAGUUGGUGGGGUAACGGCUUACCAAGGCCACGAUACAUAGCCGACCUGAGAGGGUGAUCGGCCACACUGGGACUGAGACACGGCCCAGACUCCUACGGGAGGCAGCAGUAGGGAAUCUUCGGCAAUGGACGGAAGUCUGACCGAGCAACGCCGCGUGAGUGAAGAAGGUUUUCGGAUCGUAAAGCUCUGUUGUAAGAGAAGAACGAGUGUGAGAGUGGAAAGUUCACACUGUGACGGUAUCUUACCAGAAAGGGACGGCUAACUACGUG